CUCGUAUGCCUGUUGCGGACAGAUCAGGUGGAUGUGUGAGUCCAAUCCGCCCGCUGUGAUAAUGCUGCCCUCGGCCGCGACCACGUCCGUUCCGCUGCCGACUAUCAUGCCAGCGGACACCCCGUCCAUCACGUCUGGGUUGCCUGCCUUGCCGAUGCCCGUGAUUAUUCCCUGUUUGAUUCCAAUGUCGGCCUUGUAGAUCCCCGUCCAGUCCACAAUGAGGGCGUUUGUGAUUACUGUGUCGAGAACCUCGGUGUCGGGUCGGCCUGAUGCCUGGCCCAUUCCUUCGCGGAG
rnacentral:sRNA from 1 species